rnacentral:rRNA from 1 species
AUUGAACGCUGGCGGCAUGCCUUACACAUGCAAGUCGAACGGCAGCACGGGAGCAAUCCUGGUGGCGAGUGGCGAACGGGUGAGUAAUGUAUCGGAACGUGCCCAGUCGUGGGGGAUAACGUAGCGAAAGCUACGCUAAUACCGCAUACGAUCUAUGGAUGAAAGCGGGGGAUCGCAAGACCUCGCGCGAUUGGAGCGGCCGAUAUCAGAUUAGGUAGUUGGUGGGGUAAAGGCUCACCAAGCCGACGAUCUGUAGCGGGUCUGAGAGGACGAACAGCCAAACGGGGAGUGAGACACGGCCCAGACUCCUACGGGAGGCAGCAGUGGGGAAUUUUGGACAAUGGGCGCAAGCCUGAUCCAGCAAUGCCGCGUGCAGGAUGAAGGCCUUCGGGUUGUAAACUGCUUUUGUACGGAACGAAACGGCGAGCUCUAAUACAGUUUGCUAAUGACGGUACCGUAAGAAUAAGCACCGGCUAACUACGUGCCAGCCGCCGCCGUAA